UGCGUAGGUGGUUCGUUAAGUCUGCCGUGAAAGCCCCGGGCUCAACCUGGGAAUGGCGGUGGAUACUGGCGGACUAGAGUGCGGUAGAGGGUGGUGGAAUUCCCGGUGUAGCAGUGAAAUGCGUAGAGAUCGGGAGGAACAUCUGUGGCGAAGGCGGCCACCUGGACCAGCACUGACACUGAGGCACGAAAGCGUGGGGAGCAAACAG
rnacentral:rRNA from 1 species